rnacentral:rRNA from 1 species
CCUACGGGAGGCAGCAGUGAGGAAUAUUGGUCAAUGGCCGUGAGGCUGAACCAGCCAAGUAGCGUGAGGGAAGACUGCCCUAUGGGUUGUAAACCUCUUUUAUGCGGGAAUAAAGGUGUCCACGUGUGGAUGUUUGCAGGUACCUCAUGAAUAAGGACCGGCUAAUUCCGUGCCAGCAGCCGCGGUAAUACGGAAGGUCCGGGCGUUAUCCGGAUUUAUUGGGUUUAAAGGGAGCGUAGGCGGGUCUUUAAGCUUGCCGUGAACGUUUGUGGCUCAACCAUGAGAGUGCGAUGCGUACUGGCGACCUUGAGUGCGCUGAAGGCAGGCGGAAUUCGUGGUGUAGCGGUGAAAUGCUUAGAUAUCACGAAGAACCCCGAUUGCGAAGGCAGCCUGCCGCAGCGUUACUGACGCUGAAGCUCGAAAGCGCGGGUAUCGAACAGGAUUAGAUACCCGAGUAGUC